GGCUUGUUGUUUAUGAUUUCAAGUCUGGCCUGCCCAAUGAAGAAUUAAAUGGCCGCGGUAUUUUGACCGUGCAAAGGUAGCAUAAUCAUUAGUUUUUUAAUUGAAAGCUUGUAUGAAGGGUCUAAUGAGAAAAUUACUGUCUCUAGAAAAUUUUUAUAGAAUUUUAUUUUUAAGUAAAAAAGCUUAAAUUUAUAUAGAAGACGAGAAGACCCUAUAGAGUUUUAUAGUUGUAUGAAAACUGAAAUUUUAGGUUUAGAAAAUUUAGGGUUUUAGCAACUAUUUUGUUGGGGUGACAGAAAGAUUAGAUAAACUUUUUUUGAAUGGAAACAUUUAUUUGUGAGUUUUUGAUCCUUUAGUUUAGAUUAUAAGAGGAAAUUACCUUAGGGAUAACAGCGUAAUUUUUUUUAGAGUUCUUAUCGAAAAAAAAGAUUGCGACCUCGAUGUUGGAUUAAGAUUUAUUAUUGGUGUAGUAGCUAAUAGGUUAGGUCUGUUCGACCUUUAAAAUCUUACAUGAUCUGAGUUUAAACCGGUGUGAG
rnacentral:rRNA from 1 species